AAGGAGUUGAACAUACUAAAGUUCAUGGAUGGGAGGAAGACCAGAAAUGGUGAACUGUUUAAAAAAGGUGGCACUGAAGAUGGUAGAGGCUGGCUUUCCCAGGACCCCUGAACAGAUCAGGAUUCGCUGGAAGAACGUGAAGAAGGCGUUCUUCCAGGCCAAACGGGACAAUGGAGUAAGUGGCCGUGGUCGCACUACGUGCCCGUUCUAUGAUGUCCUAGAUUACCUUCUUGGGAGCAGGCCUCUGUCCCUAGUAGAGCACAACGGCGUAGAUUCGGGUGUUCAGUUGCCAACUACCAUGGAUACUACAAUGGACCCGGAAGAGACGCUGCUCGGAGGCUCACCUGGAUCCUCCUCACCUAGGUCAACUCCACCACCUUCAAGUACUACUCCACUGCGUGCUAUCUCCUCAGUUAGGUCGACUCUAGCUUGCACUCCACCACCUUCAAGUACUCCACUGCGUGCUACAAUUACAGAUGAUCUACCUGGUAAGUUCUGCAAUAUUAUAACUGCAUCAACAUAUGGGCAUCACAAAGAAUUCUCAUGCCAUGCAUCCACUCAUCCUGUGUAGUCUAACAAACAGCUGAUGCCAAGAUGGUUACUACCACAUGCCUAAUCGGUAGGGAUACAACUGACUUUAUACCUGCCAUUUCUUAAAGGAACAAGGACCCAGCAAUCAAGGCGAAUGAGAGACGUCGAUGUGCUCGUGAACCAGAUGCAAAUCAUGACUCAAGAAUGGAAGGAGGACAUGGCAAGAAGUGAGGCCCGGGAGGAACGGUUGAUCGCCAGCAUCCUCCGCACUGACAGUAUGGUUGAGAAGCUGAUGCAGAGAAUGGAUAACAUUCAACCUCAACCAAACACAUUCUCACCACCACCUCAACCAAACACAUUCUCACCACCACCACAUCAUCAAACACCGCAAGAUGCGUAUUAUGGUUAUGGAUUCCCAUCCACCUCCCACUACCAUCAGCUGAACUAGGCUCAUUCAGCACAUGUCAUUUUGCACCUUGGACUCAACCUGCACAGACCUCACUUUAAACUAUAUUUAUUGUUCUUUCCAAUCUCCAUUCUCUCAAUAGAUGUUAUAAUAUUACCAUGUCUUCUCUUAUAUUGUCCAUAUAUGCACUGUCCAUAUACACCGCCUUACUUAUUUGCACUACCGCCUGAAAAGCACCUUACCGUUCAUACAGCACAAUUUCUAGACUCUACCUCAGAGUGUGUGUGUGUGUGUGUAUAUAUAUAUAUAUAUAUAUAUACACACACACACACACACACACACACACACACACACACAAUCUGAAUUUAUACAUAUAUAAAUAUAUGUAUAAAUAUUAGUUUUUUUGUGACAUUCAAGGUUUUACCUUUUAUACUUUCUU
rnacentral:lncRNA from 1 species